rnacentral:rRNA from 1 species
CACUCCUGCGGGAGGCAGCAGUGGGGAAUAUUGGACCAUGGGCGCAAGCCUGAUCCAGCCAUGCCGCGUGAGUGAUGAAGGCCCUAGGGUUGUAAAGCUCUUUCACCGGUGAAGAUAAUGACGGUAACCGGAGAAGAAGCCCCGGCUAACUUCGUGCCAGCAGCCGCGGUAAUACGAAGGGGGCUAGCGUUGUUCGGAUUUACUGGGCGUAAAGCGCACGUAGGCGGACUAUUAAGUCAGGGGUGAAAUCCCGGGGCUCAACCCCGGAACUGCCUUUGAUACUGGUAGUCUUGAGUUCGAGAGAGGUGAGUGGAAUUCCGAGUGUAGAGGUGAAAUUCGUAGAUAUUCGGAGGAACACCAGUGGCGAAGGCGGCUCACUGGCUCGAUACUGACGCUGAGGUGCGAAAGCGUGGGGAGCAAACAGGAUUAGAAACCCCUGUAGUCCC